rnacentral:rRNA from 1 species
UGGGGAAUUUUGGACAAUGGGGGCAACCCUGAUCCAGCGACGCCGCGUGAAGGAUGAAGGCCUUCGGGUUGUAAACUUCUUUUGGAGGGGAUGAACAUGCCGGCGAAUAGCCGGCAUUGACAGUACUCUCGGAAUAAGCCACGGCUAACUACGUGCCAGCAGCCGCGGUAAUACGUAGGUGGCAAGCGAUACUCGGAAUCACUAGGCGUAAAGCGCAGGUAGGCGGUUUGGUAAGUCUUUUGUGAAAGCUCCCGGCUUAACUGGGAGAGGUCAAAGGAAACUACCGGACUAGAGUGUGGUAGGGGAUACUGGAAUUCCCGGUGUAGCGGUGAAAUGCGUAGAUAUCGGGAGGAAUACCUAUGGCGAAAGCAGGUAUCUGGGCCAUCACUGACGCUGAGCUGCGAAAGCUAGGGGAGCAAACAGG